rnacentral:rRNA from 1 species
GUGGCGAACGGGUGAGUAACACGUGAGUAACCUGCCCUUGACUCUGGGAUAAGCGUUGGAAACGACGUCUAAUACCGGAUACGAGCUAGGACCGCAUGGUCACUAGCUGGAAAGAACUUCGGUCAAGGAUGGACUCGCGGCCUAUCAGCUAGUUGGUGAGGUAACGGCUCACCAAGGCGACGACGGGUAGCCGGCCUGAGAGGGUGACCGGCCACACUGGGACUGAGACACGGCCCAGACUCCUACGGGAGGCAGCAGUGGGGAAUAUUGCACAAUGGGCGCAAGCCUGAUGCAGCAACGCCGCGUGAGGGACGACGGCCUUCGGGUUGUAAACCUCUUUUAGCAGGGAAGAAGCGCAAGUGACGGUACCUGCAGAAAAAGCACCGGCUAACUACGUGCCAGCAGCCGCGGUAAUACGUAGGGUGCAAGCGUUGUCCGGAAUUAUUGGGCGUAAAGAGCUCGUAGGCGGUCUGUCGCGUCUGCUGUGAAAACCCGAGGCUCAACCUCGGGCCUGCAGUGGGUACGGGCAGACUAGAGUGCGGUAGGGGAGAUUGGAAUUCCUGGUGUAGCGGUGGAAUGCGCAGAUAUCAGGAGGAACACCGAUGGCGAAGGCAGAUCUCUGGGCCGUAACUGACGCUGAGGAGCGAAAGCGUGGGGAGCGAACAGGAUUAGAUACCCUGGUAGUCCAC